rnacentral:misc_RNA from 1 species
GCUGGAAAUGAACAGCGACAAAGAGAGAUUGCAGGCAAUGUUUCGUGAAAGGUCGGCCAACACCGAUGAAGUCCUUAAGCUCAUGCGAUCAACAUAUCCAUUGCAACGUAGGGACAUUAACUCUGAAGUGAUGCCAAUGAGAGAACUGUUGUGUGCAUGGCCCUUCUUGUUCGUCCCUUCUGGUCUCUUCUGUCACUUUAGUGCCCUAUGCAGUUUUGAUAUUCAAGACAGACUAAGGGAGUCGCUGCAAAAGAAGAAGGAUGUAGUUCUCAAACUAAUGAGACUGGACAAGAGGACAGAAAAUGAGUAUACCAAGCUAAUGGAAGACAUUGCAAAAGCUGGAGACAAUGCAAGUCCAGAAGCUGGGUGCUUGGCACUGAUGAUACUACUUGUGACAUGGUUCGGCGAAGAGAGGGACUGCCUCAUUCUGAGGAAAGAUCCAUUUCUAACUGCUGCUGAAGUCGAGGAGGACCUGCCAAUUUCUCCUUGCAUUAUAGCACUGGGGGAUGAUCUGUGGACUGCCCACGAGUACGCACUCAGCAUUGAUGGCAGGCUCAUGGUUCAGAAGAUACCAGACGUCCCUACGGCAUGGGCUGCACUCUUCGCGAGUCACUAUUGCUUUAACAUCUGCUACGCUGAAGAGGUUUCCUGAGCAUGAACCCUGACCGUGGCACCAGAGCCAAGCGCUCCAAGUCGGAAGUGAACAAGAAAGUACUUAACCUGGUCAAGAAAAUAGCAGAGCUGGAGUGGAAUGUGUGAGGCUGUCGGUCAUCUUAUGUGGGAACGAGGCAUGCGACAUGGGGCUCGGGCUCAUUCAACGCAAGGUCUUGGCACCAGGAAGAUUUCAGCAGCCAUAAGCAAUGGCACUUGGGUCUAAAUUUGGUGAGUAUGAUAAUGAUCGAGCACCCAGCUGCUUGUGUGAAAAAAAAAAGGGGGGGACACU